rnacentral:rRNA from 1 species
GAGUCUGCUUGGUCGGGCCGGGCCGAGCGUCAGCGUUGGCGUUUCGCUUAGGUUAGUGGCGUGCCGAGAGGCGGGCGGUGCGGUGGUGUGGUUUGGCGGCGCUACGGCGCACGGCGGCCGGCUGGCGGCGGCAGCCUCGUCCCGGGCUCGGGGAGGGGGAUGUGGGGCCGCCGCCUGAGGAGGCAGCGCCGGGAGUAGCUGGCGCGGUGGAGGUGGUGCCGGGGGAGGCAGCUGGGGCGGGAGGAGGCCCGGUAGUUCAGGAGCCGCGCGCGGAGGCUGCCGCGGCAGGCGCUGCGGAAGGCGGAGGAGGAGAGGGAGUACCGGUUCGGGGUGAGGGUGCACGCCGAGGACCGGAAGUCGUAGCAGCUGCUCGAGAAGUACGCGAGGUUCGAGAAGGCGAGGGAGGAGCGCCUGUGCGAGCUGCCCAAGGAGGGCGACCGGCAGCCGAAGGCGUGGUUGCUCGUCGAGGGCGGCGGGCGGCGGAGGCGGCGGUGCGAGGCCUUCCGGCGGUAGGUCCGCGAGCUCGCGACCGUGGUGGAGAAGCCGCACGUGAUGGCGGUCGAGGCAGAGCGGCAGCUCAUGGAGUUCAGCAGGCGCGCGUAGGUCAAGGGGCCGGAUGCGCGCCGGCAGCUCCGGGCACGGCGCGCCCUCCGUGCGUGCGUCCUCUAGAACUGUCGGUUCCAGCUUGUCGACGCCAGGUGCUAACUUAGGUAUUUCCGACUUUAGGCCAGGUGGUAGGUUCUCUAGGCGUUGCCCGACCUGUAGUAGGCCCGACUCAUACUCUUUAAGCUCGCAAUACGUCUGCUACUACUGCUCCUCCUCCUCUAACGAAGUUACCGCUACGCCUCAUAGUCCUGUCGUAGCAACUACCGGCCCGUUACCCACGGACUUUGAGUCCUUUUGCUCCGCCAAAAGCUACGCAACUCCCUCCGCAUGGCCGAGGAACAUAGCUUCGUAAAGUCGUGCUAAGUCCUAACCUAUAGACACGAACAGUCCCAGUUAGAACGUCUAUUAGCCAAGUCUCUAAGACGCAACUUCCUUAAGUAGCUACAAUUCUUACUUUAUGCACGACAUUCUUCGGUCACGUUACUCGAACCAGAACUGGAACUAUUACAAGCAUCCUUCUUCCUACAAGUCCUCCUUCUGCUUCUCCUAACCCACCUCCCUUUCUAACUUCAAGGAUCAGGAGGAUCUCAACACUCGUUAGAUCUACAACGUCCAAGGUCGUUCCUGUUAUCCUUCCCUUUCUCGUACCACUUAAGACCGUUACCACUGUACGGUUUACCACCAUUAUCUAGAGUCCUCUACCUAGGUCUCUCUUUUUUCGAGGAAAGGCUUCGGGGAAACCAUAGUACCUCGAGACAGAACCUAGCCACCCCAAGUUUAUACCUACGUGUACACUUGGUCUCUCCCGAACUCGAGCUCUCGGUAACCCCCUCCUACCUAUUACUGCGACAAUAUGGACGUCGUUUCUAACGUCUCAAUUUGCAAGUGGUAAGACAAAUAUUUCUUCUCGGUCAACUCUAGGAUGGUACAGUACGUGGAGACUUCUUUCCUCCAGAAACGGUCUCUUCCCUAGAGUUCUAUACGGGAAAAGUACCCGGGUAGUAGGGUGCACUACGUUCUCCUUUAGGUUAACCGUUUUAACCACCGUCGAGACUACGCCCUCCGCUAGGCGAACUCGUUUUUCAUCUGUAAGCACUCCGUCCUCCUUUAGGUUAAUUGUGUUUACCUCCGUAACUAUCACUUAUAUGUGUCCUCCUCCCAGUCCUCGGGAGAUGAAGUUACUACUGUUCGUAUUUAUUACUGUGGUCGCUGUAACUAGAAUCAUUUUAAUGUCACCUAGUCAACCGCUACGUUCGCUAAUUCUUACAAGCCUUUUCCCUAUACCUGCUGUUUCGUGCCCUUUCUCGGGUUGCACGCUCUCAGGCGGUCGUGUUACUUCUACAAGACGCCGUUCGCCGAUAACGAAGUUGCGGGGUGAGUCGCCGUCGUAUACCGGUCGGAAGCCUUCGUGACCCAGCUGCACCAGCUGCAGCUCGAUUCUGCUUCCUUGGAUGUGAUAGUAGUUACGACUUCUUCUUUCAAUGGCGUUUUCUAUCCUAACGUCCCUCCGAAGAUUUACCAGUACGAUCCCUGCGUUGUUAUUCUCUUCGAAGAUUAUGACUCCUAUACUGGAUGUCCCUUCGUAAGGGUUUAGUCACCGUCACUUUCGUGGGACCCAUCCAGAAAGAAGUAUUAAUUGUCAAAGCAAAACGACACGACAACAUACCACUCCACACCGACUAUAAGGGAACGUGCGAACUUCACGAACUUCAUGCGCCCUGCGACUUCGACGAAGGUUGGACACGUACCUUUUAAAGUCUUUCCCUUCAACAUCUGGUAAACAUGACCGUCAGCCUAACUCUUAGGUUUAGUCUUGUUGCGCUGUCAUUUGUUCGUGAGCUAAAACACUUGUACGGUUCGUCAAACAGGAACAGCGGCUGGAAGGAAGGUGCUAGUAGGUCGAAGAGACCUCGAUGUGGUAGUUGUAGGCUCUAAGACUUGACCGGAAUGUUGUCGAGUCUACUCCGCCGCUAUUUGGCCUACUAACUAUGGAUAGCAAAGGUAACGAUUCCUUCCCAAGGACAAAUGACAAAAGAGAGACCAGAAGACAAGACAAUAGAACCAAAACGGAACCGAACAUGGCCCGUUACUUGUGUCCAACUGAGAUCCAACAUAGAAGACGUUACCUUAAUGACAAUCGAUAGCCUACACAUGGGUUACGGGGUGUCAAAUCGAACCACGACGGUAGAACAGACGUCACACCAAGAAUCAAAGACAUCUCAUGUAUUACAGUCGAGUUGUAAAAAAGGGUACAAGACAUAAAUUGGGUCGUUGGUUCAGAAACUCAUACACAACACGGUGUGACAAGAAGAGGCAUUCGAAAUAUUAAAACGUUACGGAAUAUUGAACAAACAACGGCCUAAAGACCCGGACUGACGUCUUACC